rnacentral:rRNA from 1 species
CGGUCUCUUCGGAGAUAGUGGCGGACGGGUGAGUAACGCGUGAGAAUCUAGCUUCAGGUCGGGGACAACCACUGGAAACGGUGGCUAAUACCGGAUGUGCCGAGAGGUAAAAGGCUUGCUGCCUGAAGAUGAGCUCGCGUCUGAUUAGCUAGUAGGUGUGGUAAGAGCGCACCUAGGCGACGAUCAGUAGCUGGUCUGAGAGGAUGAUCAGCCACACUGGGACUGAGACACGGCCCAGACUCCUACGGGAGGCAGCAGUGGGGAAUUUUCCGCAAUGGGCGAAAGCCUGACGGAGCAAUACCGCGUGAGGGAGGAAGGCUCUUGGGUUGUAAACCUCUUUUCUCAGGGAAGAAAAAAAUGACGGUACCUGAGGAAUAAGCAUCGGCUAACUCCGUGCCAGCAGCCGCGGUAAUACGGAGGAUGCAAGCGUUAUCCGGAAUGAUUGGGCGUAAAGCGUCCGCAGGUGGCAAUGUAAGUCUGCUGUUAAAGAGUGAGGCUCAACCUCAUAAGAGCAGUGGAAACUACAUAGCUAGAGUGCGUUCGGGGCAGAGGGAAUUCCUGGUGUAGCGGUGAAAUGCGUAGAGAUCAGGAAGAACACCGGUGGCGAAAGCGCUCUGCUAGGCCGCAACUGACACUGAGG